GUGGUGGGGAAGGCGAGAACCAGAGCACUUCCGGACGGCCUCUGCAGAGGCGUGGCUGUCCGCCCGGAGUCGCAGCCGCAGUUUCAGCAGCGGCGACGGCUAGGGGCGGGGCCGGUGGCUGCCGAGCCCGGCAUCUGUGAGUGGCUGGGUUUGGGGAGGCGACGUUUCUGGAAGCUGCUGGAAAGCGCUCGAGUGGCGGAGAGACACCCAAAUGCUUAUCUCCAAAGAUGGAAGAAGAAGAUUAAAACAAUAAUUUGCAGAAAAGCCCUGCCUUUCCAGAGAUCUAAAGUGUAAUGCAACCGUAUGCUGUUGAGGGGCUCGAAUCUUGGCUGUCUUCGCCCCUCUGCACUAGCCGAUACCCCAAUUUUCAGGGGACGUGAUCUCAUACUGUCGCCCUCACUUUUGAAG